UACGGGGGGGGCAAGCGUUAUCCGGAUUCACUGGGUUUAAAGGGUGCGUAGGCGGACUUAUAAGUCAGUGGUGAAAGCCCGGAGCUUAACUUCGGAACUGCCAUUGAUACUGUAAGUCUUGAGUACACUUGAGGUGGGCGGAAUACAUCAUGUAGUGGUGAAAUACUUAGAUAUGAUGUAGAACACCGAUUGCGAAGGCAGCUCACUAAAUUGUAACUGACGCUGAGGCACGAAAGCGUGGGGAUCAAACAGG
rnacentral:rRNA from 1 species